rnacentral:rRNA from 1 species
UAGGGAAUCUUCCGCAAUGGACGCAAGUCUGACGGAGCAACGCCGCGUGAGUGAAGAAGGAUUCCGGUUCGUAAAACUCUGUUGUUAGAGAAGAACAGCGCAUAGAGUAACUGUUAUGCGUGUGACGGUAUCUAACCAGAAAGCCACGGCUAACUACGUGCCAGCAGCCGCGGUAAUACGUAGGUGGCAAGCGUUGUCCGGAUUUAUUGGGCGUAAAGCGAGCGCAGGCGGUCAAUUAAGUCUGAUGUGAAAGCCCCCGGCUCAACCGGGGAGGGUCAUUGGAAACUGGUUGACUUGAGUGCAGAAGAGGAGAGUGGAAUUCCAUGUGUAGCGGUGAAAUGCGUAGAUAUAUGGAGGAACACCAGUGGCGAAGGCGACUCUCUGGUCUGUAACUGACGCUGAGGCUCGAAAGCGUGGGUAGCAAACAGG